UUCUGUCCUAAUCAAUUUGUUUACUUCAAAGCUUUAUAACUUAUACAAUCACAUAAUAUACUGGUAAGAAUAAAUAAGGAAAAUGAAUAUUUUAAGUCACACAGAAAAAUAAAUUAAAAGGAUUGUCAAGUACUGCAAAAUCUAACAACUGGAAUGGUUCUCUCGUUUAAUAACCGCAGUGUGAAUUUAAGUUCUAUAAAAUACACUGUGAUUUAGAAAUCGGAUAUAUAUUCAACGCAGACAUUUGUAUCAACACAUACGUAACAGAUGGUAGCAACAUUUUAUUUGUUAUAUUUUAUUUUCGGAAACCUUUUGAAUGAUUAAAACACUCGGGUAACGAUUGUAUCAACC
rnacentral:lncRNA from 1 species